UGAAGGCCCAAUACCGACCAAAACAUGGUGGUCCAAUAUCUACUGAAGCAUGGAGAUCAGGCAUUUAUGUUCGGAAUUGUAUUUUAAAGUUGUAUUUAGUGAUUUUGCUGGACUUUAUCAGGGCGGGCUCACUCUCAGACGACACUUCUUCAAAACCCGGGAAGCAUCCUUGUAGAACGAAAGAGGGCCAAGAAUGGUCUCCUCUUUCAGACCCCUAUUCCUUCACUCCCUUCGCUUCAAUCCCUUCACCAGAAGACCCCUCCUCUCCUCCCCCCACCACGAGAGUGGAGGUAAAUACCCAAUAACUUGGGUUGGGAGUCGAAGCCGAUUAGUUUCUUCCGCAGUUGAGGUUUCAGAAUUUGUACGUGAUGAACUUCACAGUGAAGUCAGAGCAGAGGAAAAAGAUACUGCACUUCGCCUGGCUCUCUCAAGGCUAGCAAGUGAUUUUGGCAGAGAGUCUAUGUUGUCUUUGCAGCGCUUUUUUAAUUCAAGGCGUUUGCCUGUGAUAUCUACGGGUUCAUUGAAGCUUGAUAUAGCUCUUGGGAUUGGAGGAUUACCCAAGGGUAGGAUGGUUGAAAUUUAUGGGCAAGAAGCAUCAGGCAAGACAACUCUUGCCCUUCAUAUCAUCAAGGAAGCCCAAAAGCUUGGAGGUUAUUGUGCAUAUCUUGAUGUGGAGAAUGCAAUGGACCCUUCCCUAGCAGAAGCAAUAGGAGUAAACACGGAAAACCUCCUCAUUUCUCAGCCAGACUCUGCUGAGAAUUUGCUGUGCAUGGUUGAUACACUGACCAAAAGUGGAUCAGUAGAUGUAAUUGUGGUUGAUAGCGUAGCCGCUCUUGUUCCCCAGCGUGAAAUUGAUGUUGUUCUCAUUGGUGACAAAUACAAGGACAUGCAAUCACAAAUCAUGACCCAAGCACUACGGAAGAUUCGUUCUUCGUUAUGCCAAUCUCAGGCUUUAAUCAUAUUUGUUAAUCAGGUGAGAUCAAACGUAAAAUCUGUGAAGGGCUUUGGACAUGCAGAGGAGGUUACUUGUGGUGGAAAUGCCUUGCCAUUCCAUGCGGCUGUAAGGAUGAGAAUUUCAAGAACAGGAUUGCUCAGGUCUGAAGAUAAGGUAACUGGUGUCGGGAUUUGUGUCCAAGUGGUGAAAAAUACGUUGUCUCCUCCAAUGAAGAAGGCUGAACUAGCGAUAAAUUUCGGUAGAGGCAUUCGCUGCGAGUCUGAGGUCUUGGAUUUGGCUUGCGAACAUGGAGUCAUUGUGGAAGAAGGAAACAACUUCUUUAUUGAUGGGGAUGUCGUCAAAAAUAGAAAGGAAGCUGAGCGCUAUUUGGCCGAAAAUGAUGCGGUUUUUGAUAACAUUGUGAAAUGUUUAAGAUGUCGGUUAUUUGAGGGCCAAGCAUAGUCAUGGGAAUCUGGUACAUCAAUUCUUUAGAAAAACCUGACAAUUCUUUCAAGAUGUAAUCUUGGAGUUGUCCGAUAGUGAGUACAAAUUGCUACUUCCUCAGGCCAUCUGCUCCAUCUGCAAGUGGUUUCAUGUCAUUGUACUGCAAAUAGGUUCGUCUCUGCUUGUGUUAUGACUUCUCUGGUGGUGUUUCUCAAUCUCCAACAAUUCUUCAGCCUAUGGGGGUUCUCUUGUGUUUCUGCUGGAAAGUAAACACAUCAAACUAGCAGAUCAUCCAUCGAUUGGCAAUUUUUUUUUUUGGAAGACCAAUAAAUUCAUUUGUGUGAAGACGUGCAUAUGAUUGGCCGGAGUUAUGUUCCAAAUGAUUGGUCAAAGUUGUAUGUACUUGGUUUGUGCUUCCUGGACGAGGAUGUUAUUGUACCAUUACCCUAUUUAUCUUGUUGUAAUCUAAAUUUUCUAUCGUUUAAUCCUUAGGCAUUUUGCUGAUAGAAAAA